AGAACUCCAAGCAGGAUAAAAAAAACAAACAAAAAAAAAACAAAAAACUGUAUUGAGGCAUAUAAUAUUCAAUCUACAGAAAGUCAAAGAUAAGGAAAAAAUCCUGAAAGAAGCUAGAGGGAAGAAAACACCUUACCUAUAGAGUAACAAAGAUAAGAAUUACAUCUGACUUCUCCUCAGAAACUGUGCAAGCAAGAAGACUGUGGAGUGUUAAAAAAAAAACCCAGCAACCUAGAAUUCUGUGAAAUUAUCUUUCAAAAGUGAAGGAAACACAAAUAUUUUAAUGGACAAGUGAAAGUUGGAAUUUGUCAUCAGUAGAACUUCCUUGCAAGAAAUGUUAAAAGAAGUUCUUCAGAGAGAAGGAAAAUAAUAUAUGUCAGAAACUUGGAUCUGUAUGAAGUAAUGAAGAACAUCAAAGAAGGAAUAAGUGAAGGAACUGUUGCAUGCAGUUCUGGAAGCUGAGCAGUCCCACAGUCUGCCUCUGCAAGCUGGAGAACGAGGAAAGACAGCAGUAUAAUGCAGUCCAAGUCUGAAGGCCUGAGAACUAGGAGCUCUGAUGGUCGAGGGCAGGAAAAGAUGGACAUCCCAGCUCAAGAAGAGAGAGAGAAUUCUGCCAUCUUUUCCUCUUUUGUUCCAUAUGGCCCCAAACAGAUUGGAUGAUGUCUGCCCAUAUUGAAGUCUUCUCAAACCCUUUAUGGAACAAAGCUGGAUAUGAUUAAAUAAAGUCUGCAUCUAGUUUUUGAUAUGUGAAAAAGAUCAUCUUCAAAAUUAAGGAUUUCCAUGGAAAAGAAUAUUAGAUCCUCUGUCAACUAUCAGACUUCUCCUUCUGCACAGCCCUCUCUUGGUGCUUUUGCUUUUCAAAGUUUUCAGUAGCCGGGCACUUACUCCACUACGGCGGGAUGUCAUAGCCACCACUGGAGACCACUGGUUGGUUCUGGGGUUGUAUCUCUCAGCACUGCUAAGCUCUGUAGUGUCAUCUCUGCCUCCUACGGCAUAGAUCAUAUCCUGAUACACUGCGCAGCCUAGGUGUUUCCUCCGGGUCCCCAUAGGGGCUAUGGUGUGCCAUCUGUUUUCCUGAGGAUUAUAACGCUCCACUGCAGGGAAAAGAAAAACCAGGGACUCUCCUAAGAAAAAAUGCAUUGCUUUGGGGAAACCAGACUGACUUUGGAAGGAACUAACCUGUGUUGAGUGGAGAUGUCCCAUCAGAGCCACCUACAGCGUAUAAGAACCCUCCUAACACAGCCACAGCCACGCCUAGUCUCCUAGUACUCAUAGAAGCCACCCGAGUCCACUUGUUCUCCUUCGGAUCAUACCUGCGUACACGGGCCACUCACUGUUGUGGCCUCUCCCAUUGCGGAGCACAGGCUCCGAAUGUGCAGGCUCAGCGGCCAUGGCUCACGGGCCCAGCCUCUCCACAGCAUUUGGGAUCUUCCUGGACCGGGGCACGAACCCAUGUCCCCUGCAUCGGCAGGUUGACUCUCAACCACUGCACCACCAGGGAAGCCCUAGCCAAUUUUUUAAUGUCAAAUUCUCUUUACCAAAAUAGCUGAUAUGGUUUCCAUUUUUUUUAACUGAGCCCUGAUUGAUAAAUUAUUGGUGUUCAGA